rnacentral:rRNA from 1 species
CCCUUAGAUGUUCUGGGCUGCACGCGUGCUACACUGAUUACUUCAACAAGUGUUUUAACUGGAGAGUUCGCGUAAUCCUGAAAUGUUAUCGUGAUGGGAGUAGAGUAUUGUAUUUGUUAAUCUUUAACGAGGAAUUCCUAGUAAGUGUAGGUUUAUAAGUUGUUCUGAUUACGUCCCUGCCCUUUGUACACACCGCCCGUUGCUCCUACCGAUUGAUUGAUCCGGUGAAUUACAUAGAAUUUUGCGUUUUACAUGACGGAAGAUGAAGUGUUUUAAACCUUAUCAUUUAGAGGAAGGAGAAGUCGUAACA